GUAGGGAAUAUUGGGCAAUGGUCGGAAGACUGACCCAGCCAUGCCGCGUGCAGGAAGACGGCCCUCUGGGUUGUAAACUGCUUUUAUCUGGGAAGAAAAAGGCCAUGCGUGGCAAAUUGCCGGUACCAGAUGAAUAAGCACCGGCUAACUCCGUGCCAGCAGCCGCGGUAAUACGGAGGGUGCGAGCGUUGUCCGGAUUUAUUGGGUUUAAAGGGUGCGUAGGCGGCUGAUUAAGGCAGAGGUGAAAGACUUCGGCUUAACCGGGGCAGUGACGUUGAUACUGGUUUGCUUGAGUGUCGGAGGGGUACAAGGAAUUGAUUGUGUAGCGGUGAAAUGCAUAGAUACCAUCAGGAACACCGAUAGCGAAGGCAUUGUACUGGCCGACAACUGACGCUGAUGCACGAAAGUGUGGGGAUCGAACAGGUUUAGAAACCCGAGUAGUCC
rnacentral:rRNA from 1 species